AGGAGUCAGGGGUCAGGAGCCCGGCACCAUCCCUACCCCCCGGGUGAGGACACAAGACUGCAGACUCGAGGGGGGCUUGUUGAGAGUGGGGAGGGGCUGUGAUGACAGUGUGCCCAGGCCCCUGAAUGGGACCUGCCAGGUGCUGCGGCCAGUGGGUGUGGUCCUCUCAUUGCUCCAGGGAUGGCUUCCCCUCUUCUAACUUCAGAAAGAUCAGGACAGAGACAGAGAGCAGGAGACCACAGUGGCAGAGCUUCUCCCAGUGCUGUGACACUCCCACGUGGUGCUGGGGUUCCACCGGGCGUGCUCCACCCCAAGCACAGGUCUUCAAGGGGAAGGAGCAUGAGUGCACGUGUGCCUGGCACGGCAUGUGGCUCCUGUGUUGUGGUCUCCUCAGGUCCUUGUGGACGCCCCCUCAGCACAGGAACAGUCCCCGGCACACAGUAGGGCUGCCCCCCUCUUGGCUGUGCCUGAAGGAGACAAGCCUGGUUCUCGUUUGCAUACGAGGAGACGGGGAUUCCAAAUCUGCUUCCCUGCUUGAGAAGGUGCUUAAGGCAUUCACCUUGCAGAAGCCACCUUCUGGGCUAAGGGGAUUCAUGCUGUGUCCCGGGAGGGGGGACAAGUCACUUUGCCUGCCGUGCCCCUCCUGGCAGCCAUCACACACCCCCAUCGGGCCCCAGUUAGGCUAUGAGCCCAGGUCACACCCUGGCGUGGGCAGGCCCGGUGCAUCCUGAGCUUGGGCGAUGGCGGCACAGGCCACAGACCCAAACCAUCUGCAGCUGUGCACACGGCAGCCGCGGCGGCAAGUUCCUGAUUCCUGCUCCCCUCUGCCUUCUGAGAAACGGGACCUUGAGCAAAAUGCAGAAGGAUGAGGCUGUGGAGACCCACUUCCUGGACCCUGUCUGACUGGCCCAUCUCCGGUGACCCUGGCGGCCCACCUGUGGGUGUGUGAACCUACUUCUCCAGGCCAGGGAGCUCGCUCAGCUGCUCAGGGAGCCCUCUGUGGGUCGAGGCUAGGCAGGUUUCAAUCUCACAUGGGAGAGAAGUCACUUGGAAAGUGGCCUUAAAAGGGAACGUUCUGCUUCCUCUGGGGAGCCUUCCAGGCUUUUCUUUCUAGAGUCCCAUCCCCUCGGGCCCCACAGCCACACUGUCACAGACUGUUACGGGGUUCGUGUUCCCAGAGGGGUCAUUGCUUCCGAAGCAUGAACGCACCUGCCGCGGUCACUCUGCUGCCAUGUACAAGGGCUCAGGCCCUGGGGACCCAGAGGGGGCUCCCUGUCCCCAGGCAGCUCACUGCAUAGCUGGGGACACUCUCAGGAGCCUUCCCAGCUGGCGGGAAAGCUGGCCCACCAGAAGAGCUGUCACGAGGAGUAGGGGUUGGUCACCCUGAGUCUGGGACAAGGAGGACGCCAGUACCUGUCUCAUAUUGUACACGUGUCGUCAGAUGCGGCCUGCCGGGCAAGGCAAGCUUUUCUGGGAGAAGGCCACUGGGGCUCAGAGAGGAGGUUAAGUGACUUGCCUAAUGUCACACAGCCAGUAGGCAAGGGGGGAAAUGAUCAAAUCUCUGAACCCCCCCUUUCCUUGCUCUCUCCUCUGCUGCAUUUUUUCAUUCUUUUAUUCCCCCAUUAAUUUUUUUAUUACCUCUGGGUUAUUGUUGGAGCUUGGCACUGGCACGAAGAAAUUGGAAGAGGAGGGGAGAGAGAGAGGGAGAGAGAGACAUCUGCAGACCUGCUUCACCACUCCUGAAGUGCCUCCCCUGCAGACAGGGACUGGAGGCUUGAACCCAGGGCCUUGUGCAUGGUAACAUGCACCUAACCAGGUGGGCCACCUCCUGACCCCUUGUUCUCCAUUUUCUCCGCUUGUGCAGGGCUAGUCAGAGCUCACCAUGGUCGGCCGGGUGCCCAUGAGAAGGAGGAAGAUGAGUGGGGCCCCAGGAAAUAAGUCAACACCGAGAUUUAGUUGGUCAAGGCUGAGGAGCUAACAGGAGAGCAGGGAGGGUAGUGGGGCCCCUGAGCUGGGGGCAUGGUGGCAGCAGUGAGGUGAGCCUGGGUCCCGUGUGACUGCUGUCCCUGAGCUGCCUGGCUCUGUGUGGGUGACCCUGGGGUGCAGGCCUGUGGCCAGCUGGGUCUGGAGGCUGAGUCAGCCUGUGUCCUUUUCACCUCAGGGUCCUCAGUCCCUGUGCCUGGAAGCAGAUCUGGUGAGGCCAAGUCCCACUGCGAGAGGGGAGUAGAAAGGGAGAGGCCUUUGAGACUCUACACAGAGGGGUUGAGUGGUGGUGGUGCACCAAGGACCCAGGUUCGAGCCCCCAGCCAACCCCCACCUGCAGGAGAGGAGCUUCAUGGGUGAUACAGCAGGGCUGCAGGUGUGUCUGUCUCUCUCCCUCUCUGUCUCCCUUCCCCUGUCUCUAUCCAGCAGGUAAAGUUGUUUUUAAACAGAGAGAGCAUCUGCAAUGCUAGCUGAGCUUGAGUGGGCAGGCUGCAGGCGUGGGGUCUGUUCCUGGGCCGCGUUCUGCCAUCUGGAAGCCGGCUGGGAGGGCCCCCACUCUGUGGCUCCCAUAACCAUGAAGUUAAGUGCUCCCAUAAGCACUGCAUAAUGUGACUCGGCUUCACCUCCCCUGGGGUGACAGAGAGAGAGUGGGCGAGCGAGCGAGGUGGGAGAGCACAGGCCUUGCAUGCCUGAGGCCUGCAUUAUAAAAAAAAAUUUAAAAAGAGUGCAGGGCAGAUAACAGCAUCAAGCACUGGACUUGUAUACCUGAGGCCACAGAGGAUCUGGGUUCAAUCCCUGGUUCCACUAUACCCCCGAGUGAAACAGUGUGCUGCUCUCUCUCUCUCUCCCUUAGGGGAAUAAAUAGAUACAAAUCUGUUCUUAGGAGAGAGGCAGUUGCGGGACCUUGGCUUUGUGACUCCCCGUCCCCCAGGAGUGACUGUCUGCACCCUAAUGUGUCAGGGGGAGGAUGGGGCCGUGCACAGUGCUAGCACACGGGUCUUGCAUGAAAGCAAUCCCAGGCUCAUCCCAGAAACCUCCAGUGAUAAGGAGAGACAGAGAGGACACGAGACUGGGGCCUGGACUUCAAGGACUACCCACUCAGCUCUAAUGUUUCCCAGUAUCCCUGGCACUUGGGGAGGGGCCUUGCUCCUUGGUGCCGCGGGCCAUGCACAGAGCUAGCGGCUCAUCUCCACCUGCUUGCUCUGGAGAAGGCGGAAGCUGCGGUGUGGCUUCAGCUCAGCCGACAGCCCAGGAACCUGGGCCUCAGAGUGCUGCCCACUGGGCUCUGGCUUCUGUUUCUCUGGCUGGGCCUUGUUUGGGGGGCAGCUCAGGAACUGGGUCCUUUGUGCCCCCUAGCAGGCCACAGAGGAAGCAGAAGGGAGCCCCUUCUGCUUCCCCUGCAGAAGGGGCUCCCGGCUGGCAGAGGUGCCCAGCUGUGACAGGUCUUGUCAGACCCAGGAGACAGACCUGGGGUGCCUCCUGGUCACAUGGGGGUCAGCUGGCCACUCGAGCCCUAACGUGGCACCAACACGAUUAUCAUGCCCACCGCCCAUCCCUUCUGUCCCUCACCUCCUAAUACACCCUUGAUUUUGACUCAGCAGUGAGUGAAACUAUUUUUUGAAUGUAUGUACUGGAGAGGAGGAGCUCACAGGGCUGAGUUUAUGCUUUGCCAUGAAGGUGGCCUAGCUUCAAACCAGUGACCAGAGUGGGCCUGGAGGAUUGGGACCGCACCAGCGCCCAGAAGCCCCACGACGUGGACUCUCCUCAGCCCAGAGCCUCAGUGCCCUCGUCUCAGAAGAUGAGAGAAAGCAGAGCCCAUCUGACGGGUCCUGAAGAGCGUGGACCGAGUCCCGUGUGAGCACCUUACUAACACAGAACCAAGCACAGUACUUGCUCCGGAGCACCGAGGUCAAAUACUGGACCCUGAGAGCCUGCUCCCGCCCAGCUGGCUCACCUGGUCCUCGGCUGGAGGCGGACACCCACAGCCUCGGGGGCCGGCCCCCGCGUCUUGUCUGCCAGGCUCUGUUCCACGGCCACCUGCAGGAGCUCGUCUUCACUCAGGGUGCUGCACAGACUGUACUCCUCGUGCCCGAUGGCAUGCUGCCCGCCCUGCCCGCUCGCCUCCGUGGCCAUCCCUGCUGCCUCCCAGCCGGCCUCCUGUGGGGGGACAGGGGCAUCAGAGGAGCCUGGGAGGACCCCAAAGCUGUCGCGGUCACUAGCGCUCUGGGCCUGUGUGCCGUCUUUCCACCUCAUCUGUCUAUCCCUCCAGCUCAGGUUCCUCCCCUUCUCCAUCCAUUCUUCAGCCAUCCAUUCUUCUUCAUCCAUCCUCCUUCCCACCCUGCCCAUCUAUCCCUCCAUCCCUCGCUCAUCUCAUCUCUCUGCUAGCCUGUCCCCUCACCCAGCCCCCACCCCCUUAUCUUCCUGUCCUCUCUGUGAGAAUGCCUUUGCCGCCCCGGGGAUGGCACAGUGGGCAGAACACAGGACUCAGAGUCCACACCCUAGCAUAUCACUUGCUGGAAUGAUCCUGGCUCUCUCUUUGCUCACUUGCUCAUUAAUAUUUAAAAUCCCUGGAGCUGGGGGCCAGGCCAUGGCACACACAUGUCACCAUCAUAGGACCUGGGUUUGAGCCUGUUCCCCACCUGCAGGGGACGCUUCACAAGUGAUGAAGCAGGGCUGCAGACAUCUGUCUUUCUCACUCCCUCCCCUCUCAAUUUCUCUCUUGUUUUUAUCAAGUAUAAUAGAGAGAAAAAAGGGGCCAGUACCCACCUGUUUAAGAGUUCACAUAUAGUGAGCAAGGACAUGGGUUCAAGCCCCCGGCCCCCACCUGCAGGGGGAAAACUUCAAAAGCUGUGAAGUGGGUCUGCAGGGCCUCUCUGCCUUUCUUUCUCCCUCUUCCCUCUAAGUUUUUCUUUGUCCUAUCAAAUAAAAUAAAUUUAAAGAGA